AAGAGAGUCUAUGGAAAGCUCGAUACCAUCUACCAGGUUCUUCUCAAGAAGAAGAACGAGAUGCAGAAUCUGAAGGCAGAGGUUGAGCUCAUCCUGGCCAAAGGGGACGAGUUUGAGUUUCUGGAGAAAGCUGCAAAAUUGCAAGAAGUGUCAACGAAACCAGUCUACAUCCCUAAGAUAGACCUGGACCAUGAUUUGAUAAAGGGGGUCUACCAGGGUGCAUUGGACCUCAAGAGUGAGCUGAAGCUCUCCCUCAAGCAGCUACAGGAAAA
rnacentral:lncRNA from 1 species